GAUGAACGCUGGCGGCGUGCCUAAUACAUGCAAGUCGAGCGAACGGACGAGAAGCUUGCUUCUCUGAUGUUAGCGGCGGACGGGUGAGUAACACGUGGAUAACCUACCUAUAAGACUGGGAUAACUUCGGGAAACCGGAGCUAAUACCGGAGGAUAUUUUGAACCGCAUGGUUCAAAAGUGAAAGACGGUCUUGCUGGCACGUAUAGAUGGAUCCGCGCUGCAUUAGCUAGUUGGUAAGGUAACGGCUUACCAAGGCAACGAUGCAUAGCCGACCUGAGAGGGUGAUCGGCCACACUGGAGCUUCGACACGGUCCAGACUCCUACGGGACGCAGCAGUAGGGAAUCUUCCGCAAUGGGCGAAAGCCUGACGGAGCAACGCCGCGUGUGUUAUGAAGGUCUUCGGAUCGUAAAACUCUGUUAUUAGGGAAGAACAUAUGUGUAAGUAACUGUGCACAUCUUGACGGUACCUAAUCAGAAAGCCCCGGCUAACUACGUG
rnacentral:rRNA from 1 species